rnacentral:misc_RNA from 1 species
AAGUCGUAACAAGGUCUCCGUAGGUGAACCUGCGGAGGGAUCAUUAACACAUGAAAGACACGAAAUUGCACAUGAAAAUGAGACAAGCUCGUGUUCUUUUGUUUUCCCUAUACACCCAUCUAACGUGAACUAGUAUGCCCUACUUUUCUAGCAUGAUUUUUGAAUCUGCUGUUUGUUUGCUAUUUUUAUGCAAAACCUUUUCCAAUCUUUUAAUUGAACAGUGUUCUUGUUUUAUACUAGUGUAUACUAGUAUGAACUAGCAUGUUUUCUAUAACAUAAUAGAGUACAACUCUUAGCAACGGAUAUCUUGGUUCUC